UGAGAAUGACGGCUUCCCCAGCCUGAGGACAGCCAGGAAGCAGCACCCAGACCCACAGAUUGAAGAGUGGCCCGCGCCAGAGCAGCCUCAGGUCCCUUCCUGCCUGCUCUUGCAAGCCACUGUCCUGACCUCAACACCACAGGUAAUUAAAAUCCUCCCACUUAGACCGUGUGGUGUCCAUUAUGUGAGCAGAUCAUGCUUGGCAUUUGGGCAGCUUCCAGCUACUCGGGACAGACCAAGGUGGCGUUGGAGGCUUGGCGCACAUCCCCUGGGGAACAAGGGGCAAUGUUGGUGCCACAAAGUGUCCAUCCUUAGUGGAUCUGGCCAUUUUCCAUGUUGGUGAACUGCUUCUUUCUGGCAGCUCACCAGUCCCACAAGCCUUCACGGAGAGCCCGCAUGGAGGACGGGGCCCACAUACUGCCACACCCUGAGCUCAGCUCUUUGCCUCCAUGACCUCUGCCCCUCUUGGAGAAUGGCCGAGAGCCACAUGCAGCCCAGGCAGCAGCAGCUGCAGACCACUGUGCACCUCAGGGCAGUGGCAGGCAGCCCGCCCCACCCCCUGCUUCAGGGCCCCUUAACAGGGAUGUGGAUUUCCACUUCCAUGAACAAGGCCUUUGAGAGGGAUGUUUCUCCCCAUCCCUCCUCUGUCAAGCCUGAGACUUCAAAGGCAUGAGACUGGGGUAGCCUUUGGAAGAGGUGACCACAUCCUUCCUCUCACGAGACCCAGCUGGCGGGCUUAAGAAACCAGACAACCCUGCCUCAGGACUCCCUGUCUUGGACCUCACUGGACACUCCUGCUGCAGGCUUCGUGGGAAGGAGCCCAGUACAGCUGCGCUGGAGACAGUCACCUUUUGGCUUGUGACAGCAGGGAAAGUGGAGAGAGUGGCCUCAGGCUGUCUGUGCCCAGACGAGGCCAGAUGGCGCUAAGGCUGAGUGUACCCUGACCUGGAUGUCCUGGCACCCAGUGCAGCUCCCAGUCUUGCCCCAGAUGGGACAUACUUGGCCCUCACGGAGUAUCCUGGUGCCCACAGGAGGGCAGUGCACAGCAGGCCUGCCCCCCACGGGGAGAGUGGGGCCACUACCUGACCCUCAUGCCCAAGCACAGCUUCUCAGGAAGGGCGUUGGCCACAUCUUGGCAAUGUCAGCCUCCUCUGAAGCCCCUGUCUGGAAGGUGACAGGGAGGUUUGCUCCUGGGUGCCCACCUUGUCUAGCUCAGUGAGAAAGGCCACAGCUGGUCAGCCACCCUGCCCAUCACACAGGUCCUCCUGCUGAGGCCAAGUGGUCCAAAGAGGAGCCAGGCCUGCUUGGCAGCUAGGCCUUCGUGGCGGUUCAGAGGUGUGAGCAACUCUAGGAGCGUGCUCAGCUGUAGCACUACUCAAGCCCAAGUGCACCAUGAGGAGCUGUGGGCUCAGGGCCUCAGGAAGCAGGCCUGCAGCUGAGCCGGUCCCUCGAGCCCAGGGCCCUUCUCUCUGCUCGAAUGCUAGAGUGCUGGCCGUCCACUUCAGAGGUCCCUGGCUCCUGGAUGCAGGAUCCCGUUUCCUGACCCUUCCAGAACUCGGCAGGAUAUUCCUCUGUUGGUUACUAGGGACUGAAAAGCAUGCUAUCCCUGCGCUACACCCCUAGCCCUGGCCUCAGCCUCCCGAGUUGCUGGGAUUACAGGUGUGGCCAACACGCCUGGCUUGGGUCACAUGAUCUGUCCCUCCAGCGGUUAGGCACAAUGGCGCUGAGGCUCUGGUGUGCCCUGGCUGUGUGGCCAGCUGCGAGCCAACCCGGGGGUCUUAUUGGAGCUCCUAGUUAUCCCCAGAACAAAUGUCCAUUAACCUGUCCUAUACCCCCCAAUCUGCCCUCAACAACUUUCUUCCUAAA